CUGGCUGGGCACAGUGGCUCACACCUGUAAUCCUAGCACUUUGGGAGGCCAAGGCAAGCAGAUCACAAGGUUAGGAGUUUGAGAUCAGCCUGACAAACAUGGUGAAACCCCAUCUGUACUAAAAAUGCAAAAGGAACCGGGUGUGGCGGCAUGUGCCUCUAAUCCCUGCUACUCAGGAGGCUGAGUUAGGAUAAUCUCUUGAACCUGGGAGGCAGAGGCUGCAGUGAGCCAAGAUCGUGCCACUGCACUCCAGCCUGGGCUACAGAACAAGACUCCAUCUCAAAAAAAAAAAACACAAAAGAAUGUAUAACUUACAUAAUACGAAAACAAUGAAAAAAAUUUAAGUUCCAAACUAAACAUUGACUUAGUUGCUAAAACCAUUAUUUAAAUGACAAUUGCCCUCCAUUCAGAUGCCCAGCGAGAGAUGAUACACAUUCAUCAUAUGAGGUGCCAUUUUAACAUGAAAUUUAUUAGCAGUAAUUUAAAACAUUACUUGAAGUUACUUUAUACAAUUGCAGCAUUCUUUCUAAUUUGAUUUCUGCAAGGUUGUGAUAUGCUGGUAAAGGUAAACUAGCUUGAGGGUUAAUGUACUCAAUGGAGAAGAGUGGGUUGUAUUAUUAGCUCUGUGUACCAGGGCUUUUUGGUUUUCUUUUGUUUUUAAAAUCAAGACUUUCUCUUAUUGCAUAACUCAGUGGGAGUAUAGUUGCUUAGUAACCCUGCACUGACUGGGGGCUGUUGCUCUCGGACCCGGGAGGAACCUGCGUGUGAAUGAGACAGCUGUCAGCAAGCCUACACUCAGGAUUUACCCGGUGCAGAGAGCUCCAAAAGAACACAGCAGAACUCCAGAGCCCUUGGCAUUCUGGCUCACUUGAAUUUGUCCUCCUGCCUAUGACAUAUUCUUUUCACACAUACAAUCAUUUGUUUGCAGUCUGGAAAUAUAAAACCAUUCAAGAAACGGAGCCCAACUACUGGCUUUGUAACCUCUAUUAGACCAAAUCACACGUGGUGUGGAAGAGGAGAAAGAGCGUGGAAUGCUGCCGUAAUCAGCCUUGGGCAACCAGAGACGAAGGAACAGAAAAAAAAAAAAUCAACAAAAAUAAAUAUAGAGCUCUUACUCCAUGUGAGACACUGCCUUAGACAUGGUGGGCCAUAGAAACAAGUUUAGGAUCGAGUUCCUGUCGUUAGGAAUCUCUCAGUCUAUGUGGAGCUGAUAGAAAUACAGCGUCAUCACUCGAAGCCUGAAUUUUGAAUGAGUACAUUAACAAAAGGCCAAAGACUUAUUGCUAAGGGCCCUGAAUUAAGAACUGGCAUCCUUCCACUACUCUCAGCUGGAAAGGAACAAAAUUUAUGAAGGACACAGGAGAAUGUACCCAGAUCUGGAAAAAAAAAAAAAAGCUAAUAUUUGAUGAGUUCAGACUAAGUGCCAGGCUCUACAUGCCUUACACCUAGCAACUCAUUUAAUCCUCUUGAUAACCUAUAGUAAUUGCUAUUGCAAUUUCUAUUUCACAGAUUUGGAAACUGAAGCAAUGAGUUAAAUAAUGUGGCCAAUCAUGCAACUAAUAAGCAGUAGAUCUGGGAUUAUCUCAAGGGUAUAUUAGUGCACCUAGUGGUACACCUAAAACGACCAAAUGGAUUAUUAACAGAUCCAGAGUGAGAAGUCCUGGGAAUUGGUAUUAGAAUUCAUUGCAAAGCCUGUGAAUUUUCUCUAAAUAAAAGCAUAUGUAAUACUCAAAUACAUAAAAGAAAGUUCUGUGUGCUUCCUGACAAUAAGGAGACCAGAUAAUUUGUACAGAGACUCUUCAAUGGAUGAACAGCUUGUGUUCCAAAAAAUAUUUUACUUUUUAUUCUAUUUUUUUUUUUUUUUUUUUUUUGUAGAGACAGGUACUUGCUAUGUUGCCCAGGCUGAUCUUGAACUCCUGGCCUCAAGCAAUCCUUCCACCUCAGCCUCCUUAAGUGCUGGGAUUACAGCUUUGAGCCACUGUACCUGGCCUUCCCUUUCAUUCUUAUAUACAAAGCACCGCUAUGUAAACAAGUGCUUGUGCUUUUGUGCUGAUGCAUGGUUACUCUGUGUCUAUGAAAGAUGGUACACUGAAAAAAUUUUAAGCAUUCAAUUUUUGACUUAUAAGACUUCAGAAUCCAGAAGCAUCGUGUAUACAGAGGAGUUGGAAAAAGUUUGAGUUGAAGGAAGGUUCUCAAUCAAAAGAAAGGGAAAGCAGUGUUUAUGUAAGUGAGAAGAAUAUUCCCAUUUGCAAAUGGAAAUUUUGUUUAGGUGAGGAGCCGCUAGUAGUACGAUGAAAUACAAACCCCAUUUAGUCAAUCAGGCCACAGAACCAUUUGAAUUCUAUGUACCUAGCUAGGGGAGGUAGUCAGCGAAACCCAUUAAACAGUGUUCAGAAGAAACCAUCCAGCCCAGUGCAACGAAAAUGUUCUUUUCAAGACCCAACGAUCUAUCCAAACAUCAUUUUAGAUGCUGUGGGAGAAGAAUGCCAUUGUCCCCACUUGAGUAGACUGCAUUAUUAUUGGGGAAAAAAAAAACAAAAGCAUGCAAAAUGAGAGCAUGAGAUGCUGACCACAGCCUAGGAGUUCAGGAAGAGCUUGAAAAAAACAAACACCUUCCUGACCUGAGUUUUCUGAGAAAGUGGAGCUGGAGUUUGGUAACACUCCGCAACAGCUCGAAGAUGGACUUUGGGGACUUUGCCUGAGUGCCUGUGGAGAAAAUCAAACCCUGGGCUGAAUAGUUUGUUCUGAGCACUGUUUAAUGAGUUUCACUCUAUAUACCUCCCCUAGCUAGAUAUAUAGAACACAAGUGGUUCUGUGGCUUGGUUGAUUAAAUGCUUCAUCAGGCAGAUAGGCCCCUGGGAACUGUAUGCAACAUUUUAUUGCCUUUCAAGACAGUUGUUUCUCAUUGUAUAGAUGUGCCUGAGUGGAUAAAUAAUCAAGAGUUCCAAUGCCAAAGGCUAAUUUGCCCUGGCUUUGGAAAUGCCUUUUUUUUUUUUUAACCCAUAAGCAGCAUGAAUUAUACUGAGAGUUUUGCAUGUUUCUGGCUGACAACCAAAGGCCCCCCUUCCAGAAGGAUAGGAAAGUUGCCGGAUGAAGUUUUCUCACAGAAUUUACCACUGACUAUAAAGUGAAAUUGCUACAAUGAAUAAUCAUCUUUCCUUGUGCAAUCUUAAUUGAGUUGGCAACAUGUAUAAUUACCAUGAUGGCAGAGGAACCCUGUGAUGUUGAAUGAAGGACGAAUUUCUUUGGCUAUCUGUAGAAAGUCUCAAAAAACCUCGUCAUCUUAAAGGCCCGACCACCACUAAACUCAUUUGAGCAGAGGUACAUUAUACUUUGCUUGGAUUUACCAGGGCUUUCAAAAUUCAGUGCUUUCAUGCCUUGAAAAUAGGUAUUUUUGGAAAGUGAAUGCUUGCAAGUUAAGGGGAUUUGUAAUCUUUCUUUCAAGUGCUAUUCCUAAGGUUCAAAUACGUUAGUCUAUCAAGGGAUUGCAAACCACCGUAAUGCAACACUUACCCAAUUUGCAAGGAUGCUAGUUUAAAAAAAAACAAACAACCAGCUCUCUCAAGGGGGAAAAAAAUGUCACAGUGAGAGCCUACACAGGGGUAAAUUAUAAAGAUCUCCCACGAACAUGAGAACGACAUAAACUGAAGUGUAAUUACCUCCUAAGUAGGAAAAUAUAGUCUUUGUUUUUUACCUUCUCACCAUAAGACUAUAUUCUCCUAGAAGUUCACGAAAGGUCAUUGGCAGAACCUAACCUCUACUUUAUUGAAACUACCAAAGCUAAAUUAUACAUGUUUUUAACAGCCUGCUCAAUGCUAUGCAAAGGCUUCUUUAUAAAUGCCAAUCAUCAGUGAAACCUCAAGUCACUGUCAAAUCCUUGCAAAUAAUAGUAACAAAGUUCUUCAGAUGCCUGUGACCAGAGACCAGAGACCAGAGACCUGCCUAUGACCAGGUUCCAUUAUUUUCCCCUGACUUCUCAUGACUGGAGGAAAGGUAGGAGAGAAUGUGAUGCUGUAAACAUAAGCCCUGAAACUGCUUUGCUUCUUCCAAAAACUGAUGAGCCAGAUUAUUUCUGUAAGUAUAGUCUUUCACAAGAGUAUAUUAAACAUGUAAAAUCUAUGUUAACUUAUUUAGGCUCACAUGGUAUCAUUUAGUAAGUUACAGUUGUCAGGGGCUCUUGGUAUGCAUUUUCUUUUAUCUGAAUAAAUAGGAAAUGGUAAUAUUGCUCAAGGUAGUGGGAGAGAGCUGAGUAUUCUUUAACAGUCAGUAAAGGUCACAAUUGGAAAACCGGAAUUUGCUUAUAUGAUCCUUUCUGUGGCUAGCUCUCUUACUAGGAUGCAAUUCAAUACUUUCUGGGAACAUCUGUGCCCUAAAGAAGCAUGUCUGUAUGCAUCCACUUUUGGACUCUCAUUCGCCUCUCAUGGCUUUUGUUUGGCAGCUGAGAGUGCUCCAGGAUAUGAGGGUUAUUAUUUAACAUAUUCAAUACCCAGGGCUAGAACUCUAGGCAGAACCAUGUGGGGACCUUUUUGAUGUGCUUCAAAUUAAAGUGUUUAGGCAACUUCUACUGCUCUUAUAAUGAGUCUGAUGUGAUCUGAGAUACUGCUGGGUUGACUGGCCUAGUGGGUCUCUUCUCUAAGAAGGUAGCUUGUGUAAAGUGGGGAAUCAGGUUCAUCCUCUGUAUAGGGAAUGAAAGUAUGUUUCAAAGCUUACACUGUGGGGGGAAACAAAACACACUGGAGCCUGUCAGGGUUGAGGGGCAGGAGGAGGGAGAGCACUCGGAAGAAUAACUAAUGGACGCUUCGCUUAAUUCCUGGGUGAAGUGCAGCAAAUCACCAUGGCACACGUUUACCUGUGUAACAAACCUGCACAUCCUGCACAUGUACCCCUGAACUUAAAAUAAAAGGUGAAGAAAAAAAAAAGAAAACGCAAGCUAUUAAGAAAUAUCUGUUCCUCACAUUUGAGAUAAAUAGUGGAACUGGGUCAACAGGAACUGGUUUUGUUUGUUUGUUUGUUUGUUUGUUUUCCUCUGCAAUGUAACAGUGCUUGGAAGAGUUAAUGCAAUUUUAUUAAAAUUUCCAUUUUAA